ACAACCUAUGUUGCUUCGGCGGGGCGCCCUCUUCAGGGCGCGGCCCCUUAAAAGGCACCCGCCGACGGCACGAACCAAACCCUGAAUCACAGUGUAUUCUGAGUGGACUACAAAUAAGUCAAAACUUUCAGCAACGGAUCUCUUGGUUCUGGCAUCGAUGAAGAACGCAGCGAAAUGCGAUAAGUAAUGUGAAUUGCAGAAUUCAGUGAAUCAUCGAAUCUUUGAACGCACAUUGCGCCCGCCAGUAUUCUGGCGGGCAUGCCUGUUCGAGCGUCCUUUGGACCCUCGGGCCCUGUGGCAACACAGCGGCCCGGUGUUGGGGACCCGCGGCUGCCGCGGCCCCCUAAAGACAAUGGCGGACCCCCUCACGGCCCUGGCGUAGUAACUAUUCUCGUCUCGGUUGCGUUGUGGCCCUGCCCCCAGCACCAACUUACAAAGCUGGACCUCGAAUCAGGUAGGAAUACCCGCUGAACUUAAGCAUAUCAAUAAGCGGAGGA
rnacentral:rRNA from 1 species